ACAAUUCUUGGCGGUGGAUCACUCGGCUCGUGCGU
rnacentral:rRNA from 3 species